UCUGUGUAAAGAGCUUCGUAGCUCAUUAUAUUACUCAAUUAUAAAUGAAGAUCUUGGUUGUGUGUGUGUUAUUAUACCUGUAUGUUCUGCAAUAACCUCACGCAGUCGUUAAAAUGCUUUCCUGUGUCCCUCUGCCGCCAUUUGCCCGUGGCCCACGCAGCUCAUUGACAGAAAUUGGCAACUGGAAUCUCUGCAGGCAGAGAUUCAGUGGUAUCAACGUGUAGUGGCGGAGCUGCACGCUGAGCUGGCGCCCUACCGCGACAACGAGCAGAAUGAACACUCGGAGCAGCAGCGUCUGCAGAGCGAGGUGGAGCUUGUCACGGUUGAGGAGGAAGAGGACAUCUCUGGCUGCUCACUGGAGCCCGGCAUUCAAGAAGCCUCCCAAGACCUGCCCCCCCAGGCCUCGAACACCCUCUGAGCAUCUCACAGCCCCCCACACUUCCAGCACCACCCAACCCCACCAGCACCCCCCCCUUCCUUACAAGGCGUCGCGUUUUAAUAAUAAAUAUUUGUAUCUAAUACUAUCGCCUCGUCUCAAUUCUUUUGAGUGUUUGGGACACGCGAGUGGCUCACAUUUAUAACGCUAAGGGCUGUCUACAUCCACAGUGUGGCUGUUGCGGAGCUUCUAGAAACCAAAUGUGAGGCAGAGUUCUGUGUCCCUUGGGUUAUGCCAGCCCUCCAAGGGGUUUGCACUGAGCUUGAGUUGGGGGCGACAAGCACAAGGUUGUGGAGGUGGUGAUGGUGGUGGAAAUUUAGGAGGAUGGCAAGGAGAUGCCCAUCAAUAAACUAGUUGGCCACGGUGAAGCCAGCAACCAUAGUCGUUCCUACGUCCCCUGAUGUGAGCGGCAGUGCUGGAGGGCAGUUCCACGGUCUCAGACGGACGUGGAUACUCAUUACCAUAAUCGCACAGUUAUCUUACCUUGGGCAAAGUAUUUCAACCAAGAGAUUCAGAUAGAAAUCAUCUGUGUGAAUAAUGUCAUUUCUAAAGCAAUAAUUACCUUCUAUAUUAUAUCCCAUAUAAAUAUAUAAAAUUAAGAUGAUGCUGAAAUUGUGAUGUUUGCCUAAUAUGUGGAACUGCCCUACAUGUAGUGCCAAACACUGACUCUCUGAAAAAUAUUUCUGCAGCAAAUCUGUAGCCCUAUUCCUAACUCCAAGCCUGAAUAGACUAUGGAAUAUAUGAAAACUCAAUGUCCAAUUCACAAAUUCGGAGGCAUCAUCACAGCGAUGCACCAACUCUACUUCUUACACAAUGAUCUGGCUCAACCACCUCAAUCUCAUAUAUAGUAGUUGCUCUACAUAAACGUCGACCAUACGAAGAACAUGACUCCAACCCCUGUUCGUCCCCUUGUGCUAAUUCAUUGCUUAAGACAAUGCGUUUCCAUGUAGUUCUCCCCUCUUCGGGUUUUGAGAGAUCCUUCUUCCCAUGAUGUGUCCCCAGGUUGUGUACGUCACAGAUGGCAACUCUUAUCCUCGUACAUGGACGGUCACGUUGCGUCCCUUGUCUCCUCCCAUCACCCAUCACUUGCCAUCCCCCCCCCCACCCCAAUGUAAUCACUCAAAACCAACUGUGAUUGACUGCAGCAGUGUUUUUAACAGACACCAGUCGUGUUACGGCGAUUGGUGUUGUUAUCGUUUAUUGUAAUAAACGCAUUGCCUCCAGGAGAAGUAUCGCUCUACGUUCAUACCCACAACACAGGCGCAAAAUACAUUACAGAAGUUAUGUUAAGCAGCGGCAAAGUUUGAGUGAUAGCUCAUCUGACACUGACUCCUCUCACAACGACCAACUUUCCGAAUACUCAUUCAGUAGUAAGACUCUUAAAUUGACGGAGAAAGCUCUCGUCAGAAUCCCCUAUUUUGAUCCACACAAUAGGAACAGAGACAUACACUCAUAUCACAACAGUCGAAGUGGAGGCAAUGAUCAGAGGUCUGAGGAAGUUGGACGAGAAAACAAGUGCUGAAAAGAAGGUUACAUGAAUAUUCUAUACCAUGGGUAAAGUCGCUACCAUACAAGGUUAGGAAUUAUUUCAAACAACUCAGCCUAACAGUGAUUACGAAGUUUGGAGAAUAUUCAACACUGAGGGGUUUAAUGCUGCCAAAUGUAUGACCCAGUGCGUAAACGAGGAGUGUAUUACGCAGGUGAUGUUGAUCAAUACCACGAAGGUGACAAAAUGUUCAAGAUUGUUUUUUUAAUCCUUGAGUCCAGAGAUUACAGAAAUUGUGGGUAUGGUUUUGGACCCAGAGACGGCCUCCUUACACCACAUACAGAAUAGGGUUCACACGGCAUGGCUAUAUAGAAUUAGGAGCCAUAAUUCGGACAAAACACAGG